rnacentral:tRNA from 1 species
GGGCGGUUAGCUCAGCUGGUAGAGCGUUGCAUUGACAUUGCAGAGGUCAGAGGUUCGAGCCCUCUAUCGCCCA